rnacentral:rRNA from 1 species
UCUUUGCUGACGAGUGGCGGACGGGUGAGUAAUGUCUGGGAAACUGCCUGAUGGAGGGGGAUAACUACUGGAAACGGUAGCUAAUACCGCAUAACGUCGCAAGACCAAAGAGGGGGACCUUCGGGCCUCUUGCCAUCGGAUGUGCCCAGAUGGGAUUAGCUAGUAGGUGGGGUAACGGCUCACCUAGGCGACGAUCCCUAGCUGGUCUGAGAGGAUGACCAGCCACACUGGAACUGAGACACGGUCCAGACUCCUACGGGAGGCAGCAGUGGGGAAUAUUGCACAAUGGGCGCAAGCCUGAUGCAGCCAUGCCGCGUGUAUGAAGAAGGCCUUCGGGUUGUAAAGUACUUUCAGCGGGGAGGAAGGGAGUAAAGUUAAUACCUUUGCUCAUUGACGUUACCCGCAGAAGAAGCACCGGCUAACUCCGUGCCAGCAGCCGCGGUAAUACGGAGGGUGCAAGCGUUAAUCGGAAUUACUGGG